UUACGGCCACAUCAUGUUGGAUCAACGGCCCUUGUAUGAUAGCCGAAAUUAAGCAACGUCGAGCUAAGUCAGUACUUGGAUGGGUAACUGCUUGGGAAUACCAGGUGCUGUAAU